UGGAAGAAACAAAAAAAAGAAAAUUGGAAAAAUGGAAAAAAA
rnacentral:ribozyme from 1 species